AAUAGAGUAGAGUUAAAAGCUCGUAGUUGGAUUUCAGGUUUUGGGCCGGAUGGUCUAGUCGCAAGACUUGUACUGUUGGACUUAACCUUUUUUUAUAAACUUUCCAAAGACUUUGCGUGCUCUUCACUGAGAUGCGCAACAGGACUUGGGACUUUUACUUUGAAAAAAUUAGAGUGUUCAAAGCAGGCAUUUUCGCUUGAAUACAUUAGCAUGGAAUAAUGGAAUAGGACUUUGGUCUUAUUUUGUUGGUUUCUAGGACCGAAGUAAUGAUUAAUAGGGACAGUUGGGGGCAUUAGUAUUUAAUUGUCAGAGGUGAAAUUCUCUGGAUUUAUGAAAGACUAAUUUCUGCGAAAGCAUAUA
rnacentral:rRNA from 1 species